CAAUAGCGUAUAUUAAAGUUGUUGCGGUUAAAAAGUUCGUAGUCGGAUUUCUGUAACUCGAAGCCCUGCGCCAAUGGCGAUGUGUGGUUUACGUGUUGCGUAAUUCUAGUAACGCAGAGUAAAAUCUGCGUUGUCUGGAAACGUUACUUUGAGGAAAUUAGAGUGUUCCAGGCGGGCAUAAGCUAUGAAUACGGUAGCAUGGAAUAACAAAAUACGGCCUCGGCUUUAUUUUGUUGGUUUCUAGAGCCGGAGCAAUGAUUAAUAGGGACAGUCGGGGGCAUUCGUAUUUUGCUGUCAGAGGUGAAAUUCUUAGAUUAGCAAAAGACGGACUACUGCGAAAGCAUCUGCCAAGGAUGUUCUCGUUG
rnacentral:rRNA from 1 species